rnacentral:lncRNA from 1 species
GCUUCCUGCAAGGUAUUUCACAUUGUCAUUUACCAGGCAAUGGGGCCACAGGUUCUACUUCAUAUCUUUGUCUUAAAAUGCUCACUUUCAGUGGUGGCUGACCAGGGAGUUCUGUGGGCCAGAACAGGGGAUCAUUUUGAUCUGAAAUGCUCCACGGACCACUUCAACAUGGAUAAGAUGUUCAUGUACCAGUAUUUUGACGACAAUCAAAAACAGAUCCUCAUUCUUACCAGGGAAUUCAACGUCUCUCCUAUGAUGGGAUAUGAGAAGAAAGUCGAGGUCCAGGGGACCUUCAACCAGCUGACCAUCACUUUGACCAACCUCACACUCAGCGACACUGGAGUUUACAGGUGCCAGUACCUCAACAAAUCUAAACAAAUGGAAAGCAGAGAAGGUUCCAUGCUGGUGGUGAUCAAUGGAGCAGAGGGGACAUGCCCAGCAGGCACAGAAAAUGUGAAAAUCCAGACGUCCAAGAUAAUGACACUCUUUGUGAUCAACGCAUGCUCUGUGAUUCUUCUGAUCAUCAUUCUGCUAUUCAGUAUGAGUGGGGUCUCUGGGCGAAAGAAGAACAUCUCUUGCCAGCCCUCCUCUGACGUGUAUGAGAGCAUGAGGCCACAGUUAAGGGCAGAAGACUCUUCCGGGACGUGGAUCAACCCGGCAUAUCAGACAUCCAAUCACCCCUUUUAUUUUGAUCAUUGA